CCAAUAAGAAUAGAUCACGGAGAAGUUGUUGACGAUCUGUGAAAUCACGUUUUUGUAACAAUGUUUCGUUGGAAAAUCUAAUUUGCUCCGACGUUAAGCUCCGUCCGGUGGAAUCUCCGAUAAUUUAUCCUCUGUGAUCACCGGUCAUAAUGCUCGCCGUUUCCUUUUCACUCAGGUUAUUCUAAGAGAAACCUCCUUUGUCUCCAUGUCUGCGUGGUAAUAUUGACUAAAAGUAAUUAAGUCAUUUGAAUUGAAGGUAAUGUUAAGUAAUUAAGUCAUUCGAACUGAAGGUAAUGUUGUCACAUUGUGAUGAAAACAUCCAUUUGCAGUUUAGUUACACCUCUGGCAAAUGACUACUUAAUCAAUAUUGAAUUAUUGCACUUUUCUUAAUAGGGUUGUCAAUGCAUUUCAGGCACCUAGGGAUGGCAAUGGGGCGGGGUGGUGGUGGUGGUGGUUGAAAUAUGUUUUUGAAAAACAAAUGUGGGGCGGGUUGUAAGGGCGUGAUGCGUGUGGAGGUGGGGGAGGGGGGGGGGGUUGAAAUAUGUUUUUGAAAAACUAAUGCGGGGCGAGUUGUGGGUUUAUUGGCUUCUUUUAUUUAGUUUUACUAUUUCCCUGUCGUAUUUGCUCAUUAUUUUAAUGUAAUGCUUCCCCGCUAAUAAUUACUGAGUACUGUUGUGUUUUUUUCUGUUAAAGCUCUAAUUUUUCUA